rnacentral:rRNA from 1 species
AUUGAACGCUGGCGGCAGGCUUAACACAUGCAAGUCGAGCGAGCGGCGGACGGGUGAGUCAUGUCUGGGAAAAUGCCUGAUGGAGGGGGAACACUACUGGAAACGGUCGCUAAUACCGCAUACAAUAAGAUGUGACCAGAGGGGAUGGGCUAGUCGGUGGGGUAAUGGAGCACCUAGGCGACGAUUCCGCCAGGGUCUGAGAGGAUGACCAUCCACACUGGCACUGAGACACGGUCCAGACUCCUACGGGAGGCAGCAGUGGGGAAUAUUGCACAAUGGGCGCAAGCCUGAUGCAGCCAUGCCGCGUGUGUGAAGAAGGCCUUCGGGUUGUAAAGCACUUUCAGCGAGGAGGCGUUACUCGCAGAAGAAGCACCGGCUAACUCCGUGCCAGCAGCCGCGGUAAUAC